CCAUGGCUUCCUGUUUGCUUAGGGUGCUGAUGAAAAUGUCAUCAUGGUCCGAAAUGGUUUUAUAAGUCUUCCUGCCACCCAUCCAGUGGUUAUGUGUGUGCUGUUUAUACCGUUAUAUCCUGUCAAGACUUUCCAAAAUUAGUGUUGACCUUUACAUAUGUUUCACUCCUAAAAUUUAGAGACCUGUAAGCUUGAUUUGACCUCUCCUGUAAAACUUCCCAUAUUUGUUCUGUACCGAUUUCCUUUGCCUUCUGGGUAUACUUAGUACUUCUAUCAACGGAAGUAUAGACAGCCUUAGUGCAGAUGUAGUCAUGAUUUUAGAGCUCAGGUUGUGUUAAGGAGCAACAGUUUAACUUUACACUGAGAGCAGAAAGUCUGUUAACUUGUAAAGGUUUUUACCUCUAGAGAGUGUGCUAAUUAAACUUAUCAAUGGAGAGAUAGUAGUGAGAGGAUGUGACAGACAAGACCACUGCAUAUGCGGGAGCAGAAAAGGACUGUACCACCUUUUAAUGUGAAAGGUUCUACCUCAAUUCUCUACACUCACACAGACACACACAUAGAGUUGGGGAAGGUAAGCUUCUCUUUGGAACUUUCAACAAUUUGCACAUGCCCUAUAAAAAGAGAGCGUUGGAGAGGUAUAUCUGUCUUCAGAACAGUGAACAUUAAUACCUUAAAUCUCUCUAAAGCUUCAUUGUUUUUCUUGUGUCCUAAGAGAAUGCUAGAAGAUAAUUAGCAACAUAUCCAAAAUUUGUGCUACCAGUAUGAUUUAUCUUUAUAAGAAAACACUGCUAUAUUAAGUUGCAUUAGUCUUUAUGCACAUAAAUUGAUGCAACUAUUAUUUACAUUUUGACAUGAUUUUCAAGAAUCACUAUCUUAUGGACAUCAAUGGUGAGGAUUUUUUUGCUGAAUUUAAUUUACUUCACCGUUUCUCCACGAGGCUUGAACCCUCGAGCCUUGACCACUAGGCCAAAGCCAAUAGAACUAUAAAUUUGGUUCUAUUUUGGGGCAUAGUACCUACACAUUUUACAUUUCAUAUACUUUUCCAAUAUGUGUGACCCUUUGUGUUUCCAAUCUAGUUACUACAUUUUUUGACAUCGAGUCCUUUGAAAUUUGGAAAAGCACAUUCAUGGAAUAUGUUUCUAUGAAUUGUUAUCUUCAAAAUGUAAUUUGAUAUAUGACUAUGUUUUGCAAAACAUGGUUUUAGUGGGUUGCUUGAGAAUUUUCAAAAUCUUCUUUUGAUGCAAUGGACUUGCAAUGAUCAUAGAAUUAAGUUAGCUAUAUAUAAUUGGUAUGAUGUCAUUUUCAAGCUUUCGUUUUUUCUCCUUAACACACACAUUUAUAAAUGAACUCCCUCACUCCCAAACAUGUAAUUCUAAAGAGUUAAUUGCAAAACGCAUCCGGUUGGUUUGGUCCAACUGCACUUUAUUACCUAAACUUUAGAUAAUUGCACAAUGAACCCCUUAACAUAUUUUAGCGCCACAUGUUGAACCCUUUUGGCCCAUUUUCGUCUAUUUUGACCUAUCACUAUGUUAAAUUAAAAGGGUAAAAUAGACCUAAGAACCUAUAACAUUACAUUUUAGUACAUUCUUAAGUCUAUUUCACCCUUUUAAAUUCCACAUUGAUUGGUCAAAAUAGACAAAAAUUGUCCAAAAGGGUUCAAGGUGCGUCGCUGAAACAUGUCAAGGGAUGCAUUUGGCAAUUAUUUAAAGUUUAGGUAAUAAAGUGCAAUUUGCCCAAACUAAAGGGUUGCAUUUUGCAAUUAAAUCAAUUUUAAAUUGCAAGUACAUUAAUUUUUUCACUUUGUUUACGUUGUGUACCACACCUACAUGGAAAAAGUAUAAGUUUUACUAAUGUUUGUUUUGUUUGCAUAUAGUUUUACUCAUUUAAUCAGCAUAAUUGAGCAGGAUUGGGCUUAAGUAUUACUCCCUCUGUCCCAAAAUAAGUGUCGCUUUGACUUUUUUCACGUAAUUUGAGGUGUAAAAAAGUCAUACUUCUACGUAUUAUUUUUCGAAUUUUCUUUUUCUGAAUAAAAGUUUAACACAUAUAUUUUUAUUCAGAAAAAGAAAAUUUGGAAAAUAAUGUGUAUAAGUAUGUUUUUCUUGCACCUUAAAUUACGUGCAGAAAGUCAAAGCGACACUUAUUUUGGGAUGGAGGGAGUACUGAUUUUCUUUUAAUCAAAUGAGAGAUAAACAUGCCAUCUGAACCGGCAAAGAAGUCUGUUGUGGUUUACAGUGAAAUGUUUUCCUUGCAAGGGAGUGUUGGUGCGUUAAAAUCUUUGGCUGUAAAUAGUUUACAGAGGAACGGUAGCUAGUGCCUAAAAUCCUUUUCAGCUGUAGCUUACAGAGGAAUUGAAACCCAUUCUCUCACUCAAAACGGUUGAUGGAAUGUGCAUUGGAUACAAUAAUGCAAGUCUCUAGUGCUAGGGCCAGGCACUCAAAUGCACUUAUAGAUGUGAAUGUAUCACUUCAACCUCUGUUUAAUUCAGUUGAAGCUUCGCAAAAGCACAUGUUGUUUUCCCUAUGUUAAACGGUUUAACUUUUCUGAUAGUCAUUGAUGUUGAAGUGUUUUUUCUGGGUGGAGGUGGGGGAGGGGGGUUCUGCACAGUGCACAUAGACAUUUGGUUCCUUUAUUGGCUAAC
rnacentral:lncRNA from 1 species